GCCCGAGUAGCUCAGUGGUAGAGCAGUGCUCUCGUAAAGCACAGGCCGUCGGUUCAAUCCCGACCUCGGGCU
rnacentral:tRNA from 1 species